ensembl:lncRNA
CUCACAUUCUCCAUUGCAUCAGGCAAAAUUCCCCCACGUCAUCACUGGGUCACGCACCGAAUAAAUUGCUGCUAUAGCUACACAGACAGCGUUGCCUCGCAAAGAUGUUGCUCCCAACAAAAAUAAAUAAAUAAAUAAAUAAAUAAGUUUUGCUGGGAUAUUAUUUGCAAACUGGUUGGCUUGCCCUCUCCAGUCUGUUGACUUAUCCACCACGUCUUCAGGGAACCUCCCACAGACACCAGGAGUCUUUCCUUAUCAUUUUUGGUCCAUCUUCUCAUCUUUGCUCCACAGUCAGUUCUCCCUUAUCCCUGUUACAAACUAAUGGAACUGCUCAUUCUCAGAAAUCUGCAAUCUACUCUUUGUGAGAUCACAGAUACACCGAGGCCUUCCAAAGAAGAGAUAUUUAGUGCUGAGAACUCAGCUUUACCUUGUCAAAGUUUACCAGACACACUGAGUUUCACUCGUGUGAAUGUAACAGAAAGAUGGUUAAAGAUUAUUUUGACUUUACAGUUAGGACAGGACAAAGGUUAUUCUGACUUCACCCACCUGAGAUUACCUAUAUUGAUUGCAAGACUGUAAGACCAAGCUAGACUCAACAAAAAUAGUUCUCAAGUAUGCCCGCCUUAAAAAACAGAGUCUUUAGUCACAAAUUUAGUUCUGCCUCCUAAGGAGAUGAUUUAAAACAUACUAUACAUUAAAAAAAAAACAACAACAAAACACUGACCUGACCCAGUAUAGCAAACCCACAGCAGUUAUGGAAAUGAAUUGCACCACUUGGACAGGGUAACGAUGCUGACGAAGUUGCGGUAAGCUGGACAGCUUGCUAACAGUCAUAAUCCUAAAGAUGUGCAGUUUUCCAACUAACCUCUUCACCUCCUUGCUCUCGCUGUUACAGCUGUGCCACCGGCUGGUUGCCUCUGCUGCAGAUGCUGAAAUAUCACCGCUCACAAGGACUCCUAAUCAAAUAUUUUAAAUAUAUUUAUUACAAAACAAAACCCACAGAAUCUAUUGUACAAAGGCACAGUCCAUUAUCUUUACAAAUCUUUAUACAAAAUAGCGGUUAUCUUAAACAACUUCAGCUCUGUUAACAUAAAGAAUCGUUGCAGUUUUGUGACCAGAAAACUGUUUUAACGUGUAAUGGUCUGAAGCGGUGAAAGCCUCAACGGAAAUCUUUCUUACGACAGUUCCAGCCAGGUUCGUUUGUAUCCUAAAGGCCACGUUUGGAAAACAAUUGGUAAAGACCUUCUGAAACAUGACAAAUGGCUUUCAUGAAACAUAACUGUAACGACAAUGCGAAAGUAACGUCAAUUUAAUCCCCAAAUACCUACAGUGUCACCUGUUGGCACUUCUUUAAUGACAUGUAUUUAACAUGUCAAAAUUGCUGCUGAAAUGAAUACGGAAAUGAACGUCCACCUGAAAUACUGCACUGGAGACAAAUAUAUAUAUCCCAGUAUAUUACAAACUCAAGAUAUGUACGCUCUAAAAACCCCUCAGCGGUCAGUUUCAGUCCCACUACUCAUGGAUGCAUUUGAGCUGAGGAGAACCAAACACAGUGUUUACUUAGACUCACUGCAGUACACUCAACAUAGGAUUCUUGGGGCUUCUGUGAUUUAAGGCUUUAAUUUUUUCCCCAGUUGAUGUUUGAGCUGUUUAAAACACAGAAGGCACUUCAGUACUGGGUUUGGUUGUCCUUUGUAGUACCAAAUCCUACAAAAUGAUACACACGUAAAGCUGUAAUUAUUAGGCUGUUUGCAGAAUACACGUUUUAAUAUAAAUAUAAAAAAAGAUUGUGUGUGUUUAUCAUAAAAAAUCUUGGUAAUCUUUGUAUAUUCAUGUACAUUUACAAAUAGCAGCAAUUACAAUACAAUUAGAUAAGUAAGAAAGCGGUGUGGGUUAGAGUUUUGUCAAUGAUGCCCUCCAAAUUUCACAACCAACAGCAAAGCAUUUUUCAACAGCUUUUCUUUUGACCUCUGCAGGCCAAUUAAUUCCAUUUAUGACUGUUGCAUUUGUAGUUGCAAUUAAGAUAAUUCUGUUCUCUUUUACGCAUCGCAGGAUCUCUGUACAAACGUAAGUGGAACAUGGCUGCCUUCAUUGGACUCAGCUCCCCCUGGGAGCAUCGCUCAGAGGAAGGCACAUCAGCAGGGGCACUCGUUUAACAAACACAUAAAUGCUGGUGAAUUGGUCCACCUCUGUAGCUAUGAGGCUCUCCUCUUUCAAGGCGCGUUCUCUGCACGUAUUUCGUUGACGUUGAGUGUCCUACUUCGGAAUUGUUUCUGUCAUCUUCUAUCCAGCAGGAUUCUGUGCUGGCUGAAGAAGUGGCUCCUGCCUCCCUAUGUGGGCUGCGGUGGGGCUGCAGGUUGUGCUGAGGACAGCCUGGUUGUGGUGCCUCACUGCCAUGGGCAGCUGGGAGCAUCGCCAGCAAUGUCAGGACACAGCAGCUGAGGAACUUGGUUGCAGGAUGCAGAAGUCAUCUGUAUAACCUUAGUUUCCAUCGUUCUUAUCAGCAGGUUUAACACUAAUUUAAAUCUGUUUCUCCUCCCCCCACCCUGCCCAGGAGCACGAUCUCACAUGAGGAGACCACAGCAUAGUUGGCCAACUGCAAAAUACACAAAAUAGAGGAAAAAUACCCUUUACAAAACCUUCAGUAUUUGUUCUCAGGAAGGAGAGCUAGAACACGUGACAGGAAUGAGAAUAGCUAUGUAUAAUAAUGUUACUUUUAACACGUGGGAAAUACCUUAAGCUGUUCAGUUGAACUCCUGAUAGUCAAAGAAAGGGGAUUUUACAUUUAAUGACAAAAGCGUUGCAGUAUGUAAGGGAACAGUAACAGAAGAUCAGGCACUUUGAAACUUGUGGUGAGGAAUGCACUCAUCAUUUAUAGUGCACUCAUUAUUAAACAGAAACAACUGAAUAACCACCCUGUAAACGUCUGUCAUGUUGGAUUAUGGCUUGUCCAAGGCUCAGCCCAAACAUGGAAGUUUGCAAAAUGUCCCUCAGCACCGUAGCAACAAAUACAUUAUUUCUAACUCAGGGCUCCAUGCCAGGCACUCCUGUGUGUUAUUAAUUACUGGGAACAUGCCUGCCUUCUGUUUUCAUUUCCUGACAUUAAUGGGUAUCACUUGUUGUACAAUUAUAAGCACAGCUACUCAUUUGGGCUGACUCAACACAUACCCCAACAAAAUGAUUGACAUCAGAAAAGAUCUGCUUUUGAUAAUGUUCGGAGCACAAGGGGCACACAACUUUUGUCAAGUCUGACCAACCAUACUCGUGAUGUACUACAAUGUGCUUCCACAGGAUCUGAUGCAGGGCAGCCCCAGAGCCCUCUGCAGCAAAAGGAUCUGACCUUACAGGCAGUGUGUGAACACCCAUGUCACUGGUAGCUCAGCACAGCAUGGUCAGUCCUUACUGAUCGCUGCUAUGCACAGACACUUCAUAGUUUCAAAAGCCCCAGGAUCCAAGAGGCAUCAGUUGCCCCCCUAAAAAUGGGGAGAACAUGAUGCGUCUUAGAUCUGUAACCAGAGAUCAAGCUUCAUUGCUACAAAUCAAAUUCACUAUUCAAAAAGAGGAAAAUUGCGACUUAUUUCACCCUUCCUCUUUAGAACACGUUAAUAAUGGCACAAUCUAAUUCUGUGGACAUUUUGUAAUGUCAUUAUCCUAAAGAAAACACCAUUUGUUGUACAGUGUAGAUUUGAUUUGCUCUUAGCUUGAGCGCUCUUUAGAGAUCUAUCCAGGCAGUUAAAUCAAAGCAGUGAAACAAUGGGAACCCACCAAUAAUGAACAAAUUAAUUGUAUCCAUUGCAAAUUUCAGAGUGCAGAUCAGUCUAGCUGACGCCCAGCUAGAAUUCACACUAGCUCUUUGCUUGAAUUCAAAGUAUACUUUGCCAAUGAAGAUCAUGAUUUUUUAAGUCUGCUCAUCUACCUUACAGCUUCAAGUUGCUACUGCAUUUGUUCCACACACAGAAUAAAUUCUACAGAGAAGAUGACCCUUGUAGCUGCCUUUGUGACUGCACCAGAAGGCAAAGAAGCUGCUCUCUGCUAUGAAAUCUGCCCUUAGAUGUAACACAGAAUCAACCAAUUCAUUUGCCCGUUACCUGCUGCUAUCCAGACACAGCUCCGCGUUCCAUCCCCAGCUGCUUUAAAGUGCUAAUAUACAGUCAGAAUGGGUUUUGAAAAUAUUUCAGUAAACUGGUUCAAGUACUCAGAAGCUCACAUGGAAAGCCCAACCACAUGCGCCCCCCCCUGCAGGUUCUUGGGGGAGAACUCCUAGGAUACGUCAGGAUACCUCAGCCUUUCUCAUAGCACCUUUCUGCACUAACAGAACCACGCCUAAACCUCAGCAAAAUACAACUUUUCCCUGCUUAUUUCCUGCUCAACCCUGCACCGCUACAACUUGCCACACGCUUUCAAUAAUUCUACGCAACACUUUCCCUCAUCCUGAUCUAGAAGAAGCAUCUCUGCUUUCUAAGUUUUAGCCUGAAGGUUCACAGGAUGGAAAACAUACCUCACUAAAAACACACUGGGGGAUAUUUCUGGAGAAAAGUAGCUCUUCUCACUCAAGUACGUCGUCUUUUCUGACUCCAGGAGUGCAAAAAUCUUUUUAGAUUAGAUAGCCUACAGCAACAAAAAGUAAUAUUUUAGUAUUUAAACCUUUAGAUGCUACAUUUGCUUACAAGUCCUCUUUAGAAGAGGCUUUUCAAGCCAAUUCCACGGAGCAGUGUGGAACCUGCAUUCUGAUCACAAAACCUGAAGUGCCUCAGAUGAAGUAAUUUCUCAGCAACCAUCAGCAGCAAGAGGUUCUGAACAUCCAAUUGAAACACAAGGGUGCACAAGCUUAAUCCAUUCCAUUCAGCAAGUGCUUGCUUCCUUCUGAGUACUUAAGGGUCAAAUUCCUUUGGUCCUUAAGUCAGUCUGACUUCUCAGCAAGACUGCUAAUUUUCUUGGACUCGACUCCAAACUUUAUAAAAGGAGAAUAAAACAAAGUGGUUGGGAUUGCUACAGUGGUGGCUCUUUAAAACCAUCAGUGGUUUAAGGAAAAAAAAAAAAACUAAUCUUGCAUUCAGUGCCAUCACAGGAACACAGGAAAAUUAGUAUGGUAUGGCUCUAAGCUAGAACUGUAACAGGAAACAAGGAAUACAUUCAUUACAAAUGGCCAAUAGUUACACACAAAAUGACGUACGACAUGAAAUUCGACCAAGUGCUGUAACGUAGAACAUGUAUAUGAUUAUGUGAUACAUGAAAUAUCCGUGGAUCUACAUUCAGCAUUUAAUUCACUGAAACACAGUCACAUGAAAAUCUUGUUUGGUUUCACCAAAUCAUUAAUGCUUUCUCAGAGAUCUGCAAAGUCAGUCACUCAAAGAGUAACAAAUGAUGACCUCGUCCCUCCCGGGAUAUUAUACAACUGCUAACUUUGGCAAGGGAUGUGGGAAGAGAAUAUCCAUUCUUAAACUCCAGUGCUGGAUUCCCCAGUUGUCUAUUUUUUCUCCACAGGAAAUGGUGGGCAUCAUCUUUGUGCCAAAUGUGAAACUCAAAAGCAAAAAUUCAGCCACGAAGGUACUGAAAUCUACUUGAAAAGAGUUUCAGUAAUACAACAAGGACAAAUAAAUAAAUAAAGCACCAAUACUGUGCUUUAAUAAUGGAGGCAGGAAGAACAGACUUGGACUAACAAGUCUGUAAACACAAGCUGGAUUGGAACUCCAUGGUCCCAGCCCCAUCAACUACAACGAGGACCUUUUGCCCUGGAGUCCCAGGCUUCUUUUGUUCAAAAAACACUGACCCAAACACAAUUUAAGUUCAAAAAGGAAAAACGUUUUGCUGUUGCCAACAAUAUUAAGGCUGUCAAAGAGUCACCACAUGUUAUUCAGCAGUUGCAGAAACAGGUGCAGGCCUGCAUAUUCAGAUUUUCCCUCAGAUAUCCCAGGUAGGCACACACAUCAUCAUCAUCAGAGGUGAAAAUUGCCAUUCAAUACCCAAAUCUCUUUGUUACAACAGGAGAUGAAUCAAAGCAAAAAUUUAUCUUCUGUAUUGUGAAAGGCACUUAUCCCAGUCUCCCUUUCACAAAAGGGUUUGGAAUGAGCUAGAAGCACGAGCACUUCACUGAUUACGGUGUCCUGAGGAUACAAUAGCUUGUUGCAGUUUACUUUUAUUUUAAUAAAAUCAGAUGUAUUUGCCUCCUCUCCUUCCUCCCCACGCUUUUUAUGUUUCUAAGUCUGGACUACUUUGGUGGCAAAUUUUGAUGACAUGACUAAACUGCUCAAAUGGCAGAUGUUUUGGUUUCGAGCUCAGCAGUUACCACGUCCUACAAACAAACAACUUUCCUCACUUAAAAGAAUGUAGGCCACUGUAUCAUCCCACUUUGGGAAAUGAACACUGGAGAUGAAGCAAUUCACUGAUGAAUUCAACACAGGUGAACACGUCAAAGACCCAGAAUAGAGGAAUUACCGGACUUCAGGGUAAAAGGUGAAGUACCACUGUAUUUUGAGAAGCAGCUGACUGCUACAGCUCCUUCCUGGCUAAGUCACCAAAGCCUCACAAGGAAGUCAAUGCUAGACAAGGAUGAAGGAACCUGGUUUCAUUCAAAUUAAAACGGUGAACCUGAGCAAAGCUGCCGUUUGUCAGGCAUUUCUCUUGUUAAGAGCCCCUUGCUCUCACUGUCAGGCCUUACAACUUCUUCUACUAUCACGCACUCAAAGUGGGAACUGAUUGGAGCUCAACCAAGCAUUUAAGGUCUGGGUAUGUUUAUAGCUCCUAUCAGUUCCAGAAUCAGUAUGCAGUAUGGUACUCGCAUGAGUCAGGACACAAUGCCUGUGGGACCAGCUAAGCUGAAAGAUUUGGUUAAAAUAGGUGUUUUUCCAGUUCAGUGCUGAGCAAACGGAGGCUGAGGUUCCAAAUCCAGGUCUCGGGACACAGGUUCUGCUGGGAAGCACUCAGCUCACUAGCAAACAGGAGCAUAUGACAGUGGUACUCUUUGCAUGUUUUCUUCCAGUGGCAUACAAGGGAUGAGACACUGACAAACUACUUAAGCAUGUUUUUCUUCUCUGUGAAUAUUGGUCUCUUUAGCCUCCUUUUUCCACAAGCCACUUCACUUUCUUUUCUCACAUUAGUAAAAAGAACUGCACACACUUUGCGUGUAAAAAGGUGGUUUGAAAUGCAAAAAGGCUCAACGUUGCCUCCCCAAAUCCACUGGAGAGUAAGUCAGUUCCAUGAUUUCAAAAAGGCAAAUAUGGCACAAAAGAAGGGAAAUUAAGUUAAAAAAAAAUCAAUUUUAUAAAUAUUCUUCCUUUGUACAAUUUUCACAGCCCCAUCCCUCCCACCCAUUUUUAUUCACAUUUCUUUUUUUUUUCCUUUUUAAUUCCCACCCCUUUUUAUCUUUAAAUCAUAAAAUAUAUAUUUAAAAUCUGUUCAUAUUUAAAAAUAUUUACAGGGAAAGUUCCUUCUGUUGAGGUCAUGAGGAGUCUGUACAAGGAGAGGGUGGAGGUGGGUAGAGGUGAAAAUAGCUUCUUUCUGUGGCAGGAGAGGGAGGGCAACUUUCUUCUGCCGACAUGUAUUGGCUGCGAGGUGUGGGUGGAGGGGGGUAAGGGUCUGAGUCUGAAUUUAAAUCUAUAUAGUACUUGUUGGCUUUCCAUCGACUAGUAGUAUAGUCACUGUCACAAACAUCUGUGCUGCACGGGGUUGUGGGUGGAGCUGUCCCUCGUAUAAGGUAAGGCCUGUGAGGAAACAAAAAAAAGCACAUGCAUUAGUUGUGAUUUUUGAAAAAGGGAAACAAAGACACUGAAAACGAAUGCCUACGUCCAGAGUCAAGACAGCUGUUUAUUCAUUCUAUGUUAGCCAUAACUCAGGUUUUCAUAUGAACCAAGUGAGAAGUAUUUGAACUGUGUUAAAAAUGAAUGGCACAGCUACCUGCAGCUCGCAGUGCAUUUUGCCAGCCUCUAACCUGGUGGUAGAUCCAUAGAUUUGGGCAGCCAGAGAAGACCAACAUGACCACUUAGUUCAGUCCCUAAGAACUAACCGAUAGGUCAAUCCAUCAAAGAGCAGACAAGACCAAACUCUCCUCACAGGAUGCUGAGUAACCAUUACAAAGCAAUAUAAAUAUAAAUACACAGCAUUCUUUAUUGGCAACACUGUAUUGAAAGGUGCUAAACCCUGUUGCAUCAAAACAAGGAACAAAGCUAAUGUUUAUGGGCCAAGAAAUAGCAUAAUCUCAAUUUGAAUGGUCAUUUAUUACCAGAGGGAAAGUUUAGUGGCUUUAUUUUUUUUUUUUAAAUCAAGGUAAAGGUCUAAACAAGAACAUUCUUUUUAAGAUGCAAAAGUAAAGGACAGACCAAUGGAAUAUGUAUCAAACCUUUUUAUCUGAGCUGUACCUGUAAGAUCUUGUGGUUGAAGGAAUGUUUGAAGAAUAAAACAUCUCUGCAUUAUACAGGGAGCGAUCAGUAGCUGGGGAUGGAGGCGGGUUCAAGAUCUAAGAAGAUUAAAAUCAGUAUUCAGUCUGAGUUAAUUGCACAACUCUACUUAUUUUGAAAAUAUUAUUUACUCCUUCAGUGAGUCACUUGACCUUAUC